AAACUGCUGGGAUUACAGGCGUGAGCCACCAUGCCCAGCCUAUAUUCUUAAUUUAGUACUAUUCUGAGUAAAAAUAAUUAGCUAUUAGUUUAUAAAUUUACCAUGAGUAUUUUAUAAAUGUCAGUGCUUUCCAUAAAGUGAAACAGGUUAUGUUGUGGUACUUUUGUCUAUACCUUGUGCUGGCCAAUCCCUCAUUAUUGCUGUUCCUGUGUUAUAAUACUUACUUAUACUAAAUGUUACCAGUUUAUAUGUUUGAGUGAUUUAUGUCUCCUGAUUGGACUCUGACAAGUAGAAAAUUGAUGCUAGGAAGGGUACCAGGAGAUAGCCCCACAAAGAUGGGAUUUGGGCAUAGGUUUGGUUAUUCAAGUAGCAGCGCUUAGCUUCUUGCCAAUGGGAAAUGGAAUGCUGGUAAUUUACAGGAAGUGACCUCACAAUGAACCAGGCUCCCGCUUGUUGAUUGUGAUGAAAUGCGCGCUGAGGCACAUGCCUUGGGAGCUAAGUGGCAGCUAUACUUCACCACUAUGGCAGUAAAGAUGACUAUAAAGACUGGCAGGGGAUGGAUCCUUUCAAAUGUACUUGAGCAGGGAUUCCCCAGCUCGUGGAACACAAAGCAGGAGAUUUAUAUUCUUUUGGGUGUAUACCUAGCAACGGGAUUUCUGGGUCAACGGUAUUUUUGCUUCUAGAUCUUUGAGGAGUCAACACACUGCCUUCCUCAAUGCUUGAACUAAUUCUUGGCAAGCCUCCCAGCAAGCCUCUGUGUGGGCCUCCUAGCCAGCCAGCCUGAAGACCGGCCUCCCAUGCGGCCAGCAUUCGGAUCAGCAUUUCUGUAAGCCUCUCCCCCUGCCAGAAGGCUCGUGAUUCGACCAGCCUCCCAUGCAGCCAGGCUCUAGGCCGGCCUCCAAAAAACCGGCCUGCCACCCAGCCUCCAAGUCACAUCCAUCUUGCCGGACUCUUCAGCAAGCGUUUUAAGAAUCACUUAAGGCGGCCUCUCACACAGCCUCUCCCACAGGCUCUCAGCCAGCCUCCCAGACAACCAGUCUCUGAUCCAAACUUUCAGAAAGCCUCUAAGCGAAUCUCCCAGACAGUCAGCUUCCAGACUAACCUCCUAUGCAGCCAGCGUAUUUAACAGCCAUCCAGCAAGCCUCUUGCACAGCCAAUCUGCCACUCUGCCGCCAGCCUCUUGGUUAGCCUCUGGUGCAGCCAGUCUCUAGGCUGGCCUCCUAACAAACCAGCCUUGCAUUCAGACUCUUAGUCAGAUUCAGCCUGCCAGGAUCUCAGCACGCCUUUUAGCAAGCGUUUAUGGCAGCUUCUCAGACAGAAAGCCUCUCCCACAGGCUCUCCGCCAGCCUGCCAGCCAGCCAGCCUCUCAGCAAGCCUCUAGGCCACUUUCCAAGAGUCCUUCACUAGACCAGCCUCCCAUGCAACCCGCUCCUUGACCAGCCUUCCAGCCAGCCUCUCAGUAAGUCUGUUAGCGAACUAGCUUCAGAACCAGCCUCUUAUGCCACCAGUGUCGUGGCCAGCCUCCCAGUAAGCCUCUCAGAGAGCCUCUUAGGUGGCCUCCUGACUAGCCAGCCUCAAAUCCAGCCUCCCUUGCAGCCAGCGUUUCCAACCACCUCAGUGGGAGUGAAGGAGAAAGCAGCCAAAAUUUGGGGUUGAUUUUAAGGUGACCUGGUCCCUCCGCCCUGCAGGGCGCCCCCGUCUUAGGCCUGGGGGGCUUGCCCAGGAAGAAGUCCCAGACACUGGGGCCCAAGAUUUCCGCUUGGCCGCGGACCCACUCUUCCACCUGCUCCCUUCCUCCCCGGGCUCCCCUGAGACCCCAGGCUGAAGGGGCGAUCCUCCCACAGGAGGAUCACCUCCUCCUGCAGCCCCAGCUCAGGCAGGGCAUGGCACCUCUUCUUCGCAUCUCUUAUGUUCAGGUAGAUGGUUGUCAUCUUCAUCAUCAUCCCCUGCAAGCUUCCAGGUGUGGCCCUGAGAGGCAGCUCUGUGCAUCUUUCUGAUGUCCCCAUAGUGGAUGACUUAAGAGCCUUUGGUCUAGACUAGCUGAGUGGGCGCUCCAGGCUCCUCACGCCCUUGACAGCAGUGGCAGAGAGCCUCUGCAUGGCUGCAGCCACCUUUUAAGAGAGAGGCCGCACCUCCCACUCGCCCUUCCCGAGCCCCAGCCCCUGCCGCUUGCCCUUGCCCUUAAUCGCCACCACAUCCGGCCCAACACCAGUAAAAAGUGCGGUCUGGAGAAGCCCUUGGACACUCCGGCCUCUUUCUGGAGAAAUUUGUUGAGUAGAGUCGUGAAGCUUUCACGGGAUCUUGUAGCCAGUCUCCUAACAAGAGAACCUGGCACAACCAGGCUCUUAGCCGGACUCAGUCUACCAGGCCCUCAGCAAGCAAAAUUAGCAAGAAUUUGAGGCAGCCUCUCAGAUAGACAGCCUCUCACACGGACUCUCCACCAGCCUCCUAGUUGGCCGCCUCUCACCCGGGUUCUUGGCAAGUUUCCCAGCAAGCCUCUGUGUCGGUCUCCUAGCCAGCCGGCCUGAAGACCAGCCUCCCAUGCAGGCAGCAUUCUGAUCAGCGUUCCCGCAAGCCUCUCCCCCUGCCAAAAGACUGGUCACUGGACCAGCCUCCCAUGCAGCCAGGCUCUAGGCCGGCCUCCAAAAAACUGGCCUGCCACCCAGCCUCCAAGUCAUAUUCAUCUUGCCGGACUCUUCAGCAAGCAUUUUAGGAAGCAUUUAAGGCAGCCUUUCAGACAGAUAAUUUUCUGGAAUAUUCCAUUAAACAUUCUUCUCUGAUUAAAUACCGUGUGCCUCACUAUGGCAACAUAAAUUACUGAAAAACACUGUUUAUCCGAAGAAUAGUCUCUCAGCUUGUGGGAUAAAUGAUGUAUAAUUCUUAACCUUCUUGAGGGUAGAUAUUAUGAGAAAAAACAUUUAAUUAUAAGAAAAACAUUGCAGAAUGAUAGCUACAAUUUUAAAAAUAAGCACAUUAUAAAGAUAAUAAAAUUGUAAUAAAACUAAUUAUAAUGAACAUAUAAAAGAAGUCUUCCCAUGGAAAUUAGUAUCAUAAAACAAUUUGUAUUAUUUCACCAGCUGUAGAUUCACUGUUGGCAUGUUACCUUUAAUACAUACUUCACUUUCGAUUCGAAAUCAUUUCUUCAUUAAAUCCUAUAUCU